rnacentral:rRNA from 1 species
UUCCAGACUCCUACGGGAGGCAGCAGUGGGGAAUAUUGGGCAAUGGGCGCAAGCCUGACCCAGCAACGCCGCGUGAAGGAAGAAGGCUUUCGGGUUGUAAACUUCUUUUAAGAGGGACGAAACAAAUGACGGUACCUCUUGAAUAAGCCACGGCUAACUACGUGCCAGCAGCCGCGGUAAUACGUAGGGGGCAAGCGUUAUCCGGAUUCACUGGGUGUAAAGGGCGUGCAGCCGGGAAGACAAGUCAGAUGUGAAAUCCCGCGGCUCAACCGCGGAACUGCAUUUGAAACUGUUUUUCUUGAGUAUCGGAGAGGUAACCGGAAUUCCUAGUGUAGCGGUGAAAUGCGUAGAUAUUAGGAAGAACACCAGUGGCGAAGGCGGGUUACUGGACGACAACUGACGGUGAGGCGCGAAAGCGUGGGGAGCAAACAGGAUUAGAUACCCUGUAG